rnacentral:misc_RNA from 1 species
AACUUUUAACAACGUAUCUCUUGGUUCUGGCAUCGAUUAAGAACGCAGCGAAAUGCGAUAAGUAAUGUGAAUUGCAGAAUUCAGUGAAUCAUCGAAUCUUUGAACGCACAUUGCGCCCUGUGGUAUUCCGUAGGGCAUGCCUGUUCGAGCGUCAGUACAACACUCAAGCUCAGCUUGGUCUUGAGCCCGGCCGGUUACGGCGGGCUUUAAAAUCAGUGGCGGCGCCAUCUGGCUCUAAGCGUAGUAAUACUCCUCGCUAUUGAGUCCCGGUGGAUGCUGGCCAGCAAACCCCCAACUUUCUAAGUUUGACCUCGGAUCAGGUAGGGAUACCCGCUGAACUUAAGCAUAUCAAUAAGCGGAGGCU